rnacentral:rRNA from 1 species
UACGGGGGGGGCAAGCGUUGUUCGGAAUUACUGGGCGUAAAGGGCUCGUAGGUGGCCAACUAAGUCAGACGUGAAAUCCCUCGGCUUAACCGGGGAACUGCGUCUGAUACUGGAUGGCUUGAGUUCGGGAGAGGGAUGCGGAAUUCCCGGUGUAGCGGUGAAAUGCGCAGAUAUCGGGAGGAACACCAACGGCGAAGGCAGCACUCUGGGCUGGAACUGACGCUGAGGAGCGAAAGCGUGGGUAGCAAACAGG